rnacentral:rRNA from 1 species
UACAGAGGUCUCGAGCGUUAGGCGGAAUCACUGGGCUUAAAGCGUGUGUAGGCGGAUCGUUAAGUACCUUGUGAAAUCCCACGGCUUAACCGUGGAACUGCUUGGUAUACUGGCGGUCUUGAGCCAUCUAGGGGCUACCGGAACAAAUGGUGGAGCGGUGAAAUGCGUAGAUAGUCGGGAGGAACACCUGUGGCGAAGGCGGCCCCCUGGUUGGAUACUGACGCUGAUACGCGAAGCGUGGGAGCAAACA